GAUGAAGUACGCAGCGAAAUGCGAUACGUAAUGUGAAUUGCAGAAUUCAGUGAAUCAUCGAAUCUUUGAACGCAUAUUGCGCUCUCUGGUAUUCCGGAGAGCAUGCUUGUUUGAGUAUCAGUAAACACCUCAACUUCCAUAUCUUUUUUGAAAUGGGAGUUGGACUUGAGUGAUCCCAACGCUUUUCCUCACCGAAAAGUGGCGGGUUACUUGAAAUGCAGGUGCAGCUGGACUUUUCUCUGAGCUAUAAGCAUAUCUAUUUAGUCUGCCUAAAAACAGAUUAUUACCUUUGCUGCAGCUAACAUAAAGGAGAUUAGUUCUUGUGCUGACUGAUGCAGGAUUCACAAAGACAGGCUUCGGCCGACUUUGUAAACUCGAUCUCAAAUCAAGUAAGACUACCCGCUGAACUUAAGCAUAUCAAUAAGCGGAGGA
rnacentral:misc_RNA from 1 species